rnacentral:tRNA from 1 species
ACCGAAAUAGCUCAGUUGGGAGAGUGUUGUUAGACUAUACAUCAAGAAGUCCCUGGUUCGAUCCCGGGUUCCGGCA